AUUAUAGAUUUCUCUAUAUUCCUCUCCUUCUUAUUUUCUUGUGGUGGCCAUAGAAACCUACAAUUCAAAUUCUCUCCAGUUGGAAGAUGCCUCUGGAUUAUACUCAUGUUUCACAUCUAAAUUCUUCAAAAAAGGAAUGGAAGAUCAAAGCUCUAAUAUCUAGACAUGAGAUUCUCUAUUAACGUAUGGCAAAAAGGUUCAUAUUCUAAAUUCCAUUCUCCAGCUCAAUAGGUACGAAUGUUUUUUCAAAUCAAAAGUAAUCGUUUACAGAGAUAGCAAAUAAACAUGUCAAACGAAGUGAGUGGGUCUCUUAUUAUAUUUGCAUUUUAUUAAUUUACGCUUUCACUAACUAUGACAUUACCAUGGAGAUGACUCUUCUUAAAGACCCUUCACCUCAACACAAUGGCAAUAGUAUAUGCAUAUCAUUUGUUGCAUCGUUGGAGCACAAAACAUUUUUGAAUAAGAGCAAAGAUUAAGGAUCUCUUGCUGUUUUUCAAACGAUCAUAUAUUCUCGAGCCUCUACUCGCAGCAAGUGGGUUCCCGUCAAGCCUCUAAUCGCCAGCAUCACACCAAUUAUUCAGACUUUGUAUAAUAGAAGCUAAAUAAACAAAAGAUUCGGCUGAGAUUUCUCCAAAUCAUUUGAUCUAACUUACUCUUCAUUUUUUUCCAUCACCGUUCAAAACAGUUUCCACUUUCGCGAUUAAAUCGUAUUAUUAAAUGUUUAAACAUCUAAACAUUUUUAUC